rnacentral:lncRNA from 1 species
GUUGAAGAAAAUUAUAUAAAAAUAGAAGGAAGGGAAACGGAAACGGAAAAGGACAGGAGAGAGAAAGGGGACCGGUAGAUGACCGGAGAAAACAAACAAAAAGAAGCGAGAUUUGGGGAAUCGUACUUUUCGCAUGUAACGGUUACGCGUUGACAGCUGUCCAACACUCAACUCCCACCUUCUUUUCUCUCCAUCCCGCCCGUUACGAAGCCUCGCGGAAGGAGGGCCCGUUG